AGCACUAGUAAAGUUGGGAAUUCUUAUACGUUUAACUAAGCUUGGAAAAUAAUCCUUCAAGGAGGUCUCGCAAAUCAAACCAAAUAGGGUGGUGUGAUUUUUUGUGAUGAACAAGUCCUGGAAGUGCAUGAAGCAAGACCCAUUGCAUGAUAGAAUUGGUUCAUAAGAUCAAUAGCGUUGGAGGCAGGACGCUACAAGCUAAAUAUAUAGUCUCCUUGUAAGAACUUCAAACUCCACGUGGUUCAGUUGCUUUAUUGCUUGUUGCUUUCAAUCAAUUAGAAGCUA